ACCAACCAAAAUACCAUCUAUGAAACAAGACAAAAAAGAGGUUAAGUCAGACAUAUCAAAUACAGAAUAUUUAAAAUGUAACUAAGGUGGGUAGUUACAAAGUUUCUCAGCAGAGGAGCAACCAAAGUUCCUUAUAAAUUCUAAAAUCUGCAUAUAUUACCACUUAAUAAAUAAAAGGUUAUUAUCGUGGAGACCCAAGAAAAGGUGACAACACAUUCUGCUUGUUUUAGAAAACUCCAUUUUUUUAAAACGAAGGCAUGUCUCACAUGGAGAAAUCCCUUUCGGCCUGGAUUGUAAAAUAAAAGAAGAUUCGUAAAGUUCAACCUGGCCAAGAAAACUAUGGUCAAAUUCAGUCCAGUGAAACCAAGUUGAGCCUGAGCAAUCUGAACUAAGCCAAAUCAGGCUGAAGGCCAGGAAAACACAUCGGAGUCACAACUGUUCCACUAUGGUCAUGAGGUACUGAUUGUUGAUAACUUUUUAAUGGAAUGCCCAGAAAUUUUGUAUGAGAAAUUACAGAGGUAGUAGAGGAUAUUUUUU
rnacentral:lncRNA from 1 species